UUUAUUUAUUUAUUUAUUUAUUUAUGACAGAGAAAGAGAGUGGGGGGGGGUUAAUGAGCAGACAGAGAGGGACAAGCAGACUCUGCAAUGAGAAAAUGAGUAGUGAUGUGGGGCUCGAUCUCACAACCCUGAGAUGACCUAAGCUGAAAUCAAGAGUUGCAAGCUUAACUAACAGUCACCUAGGUGCUCCUCAGAGUUAACACUUACUUUCAACAAAAGUACCCUGACCUACUUGAUAAAAAUUUUGCAGCUGAGAAAGAUGGAACCAUGUUGUAGUCAUUUAUUGAUGACUUUGUAUAAUCCCUAACUUCUUUCUUUUUAUCAAAACCUAUAUUAAUCUAUGCACAAAUUUGAUAGAUUUACUAUUCGACAUAGAUCCACAAUCCAGCCAUUUAUCAUUUGGCCACUGCUGUCCAAAGCACUAUGAUCUCUCACCUGGUUUGUUUCAAUAGCUUUCUAACUAUUCUCCUUAUUCUUUUCUUGCCUUACCCCCAUUCAGGUUUCUGGUUUGUAAUACAGCAGUAGCUAAGUGAAUGUUCCUUUUUUUGUUUUUUGUUUUUUGGGGUGUUUUUGAAAAAGAGAGCGCAAGCUGAGCAAGUGUGGGGGAGAAGCAGAGGAAGAGAGAGAAAAUCUCAGGUAAAAGAUUCCACCCUCGGCACAGAGCCCAACAUGGGCCUUAAUCUCACAGACCCUGGGAUCAUGAACUGAACUGAAACCAAGAGUUGGUCACUUAAACAACUGAGCCACCCAGGCAACCCUGAGUGUUCUCUUUAAUACAUAAAUGAGAUCAUUACAUCCUGUGUUCAAAGCCCUCCAGUACUUCCUAUUUUAAAGUAAAAGCUGAAAUCACAAAGGCUCUGUAUGUCCAGAAUGCUUGUUACUUCUGUAACCUUUCAUUCUCCUUCCAUAUUUGCUCUAGUGACUAUGGCUUCCUUUAUGUUCUCCAAGACAUAAAGACAUCAUGUUCUUAGCUCAGGAUUUUUAGUCUUGUUCUUCUCUCCUAACGAGACUUUCUUGGGGGCACCUGGGUGGCUCAGUCGGUUAAGCAUCAAACUUUUGGUUUUGGCUCAGGUCAUGAUUCUGCCCUCACGGGGCUCUGUGCUCAGCAGGGAGUCUACUUGAGAUUCUCUCCCUCUGUGCCUUCCCCUCUCUGUUUCUGUCUCAUAAAUCAAUCAAUCAAUCAAUCAAUCCGUCUCUCUUUAAAAAAAAAAAUUCUUUCUCCAGAUAGUUGUAUGACUCCUUCCCUUAACUCUUCACAUACUAUUUUCCCAACAGAGCAAUUCCUCAUUGCCUUGUUCAAAAUUAUGGAUGGCUUCCCCACAAACAUACAUAUAUGCCUUCUUAGGUUUCUCCAUCUGUCAGAUCCUCAGGUGAAUUCCAUAGACCCAACGACUGCAGCCUCAUGCUUACUCCUGCAUUUGCCCUGUGACUUUGUUAACAUCACCCACUGCCUUCCCCAGACUAAUAUGCUUCUGCCUACCCAAAGUCUCCCACCCAAGUCUCCUAACUAAGCCUUGUACACUCAUGGGUGAGGUCAAACAAAUAGGGAUGUAUCCUUACAUCUCUAUUUCUGGAAGGUACAUGUUGGUAUAUGUUUUUUAUAUUCUUCAAUUUAGUUUUCAUAUUCAUCAUGCUAGUUUGCCUGAUUUUUCAUUCUUUUGUCUUUACCUUUGUAGUCUGUUUUCAAGCUCCGUUCUCUGGAUAAAAUCACUCUACCUCUGUCUUAAUGCCUCAGAUAAGAAAGGGAUAUAACACACCAUAUUCUCAAGACUUAACUUUCUCUAUUUUGACUUGUUCUUUGAUUUCCAGCCAUCAGUCCAGGGUAUUACUCUUUUUCUCCUGUGCAUUCUCUAUUCAACUCCUGCUGUUCCCUCUUUUCCUUGCACUCAGUAUCCUAAAAGGUCUUCACAGCUCUGGACUUUGUAUAUGCCCAACAAAAUAUUCUUGUCAAUAAUGUUUGAUUUUCUCUUAUUUUUCAGUGUAAAACUUCUUUUUUAAUAUUUUAUUUAUUUAUUCAUGAGAGACACAGAGAGAGAGAGAGAGAGAGAGAGAGGCAGAGACACAGGGAGAGGGAGAAGCAGGCUCCAUGCA
rnacentral:lncRNA from 1 species